UGGGGAAUAUUGGACAAUGGGCGCAAGCCUGAUCCAGCCACGCCGCGUGAGUGAUGAAGGCCUUCGGGUCGUAAAGCUCUGUGGGGAGGGACGAACGCUCCGGCGAAGAGCCGGAGGUGACGGUACCUCCUUAGCAAGCACCGGCUAACUUCGUGCCAGCAGCCGCGGUAAUACGAAGGGUGCAAACGUUGCUCGGAAUCAUUGGGCGUAAAGCGCACGUAGGCGGCUUCGCAAGUCGGAUGUGAAAUCCCUCGGCUCAACCAAGGACGUGCAUCCGAAACUGCGAAGCUUGAGUACUGAAGAGGAUCGCGGAAUUCCCGGUGUAGAGGUGAAAUUCGUAGAUAUCGGGAGGAACACCAGUGGCGAAGGCGGCGAUCUGGGCAGUUACUGACGCUGAGGUGCGAAAGCGUGGGGAGCAAACAGG
rnacentral:rRNA from 1 species